UUCUGUGGACACGGGGCUGAGCUGCAGGGGCAUCACGUGUGGGUGGCUCCUAUGCCCUGGCCGGCAGCUCAGAGAUACUGCCGUUUUCAUUUCUCUCCUGCACAAUGUGGGAAGAGACUGCUCUUCUGCAGGGAGAGAUCUACUCACUUCAGAAGGGUUCUCUUGCCAGAUUUAGGGUCAGUCUCUAUUUUUAGGGGAUGAAAAAGAAGGGGAAGGAGGAAGACUGGCAGAAAGCAAAUGGCAGUUGAAGUGUAAGGAUGAGAGAGGAUCCGAGAGAAAGUCAGGAAGGGAGAAUAACUCUGCUGACCAGUGUGUGAAGUAAGAGAGGCAUCCCCCCGGGACUGCAGUCUCCCUUUAUCCCAGUGAUGACUCGGUUACAUAAUUCCCAGCUUCUGAUUUUUUUCCUGCCUCCUGAGGAGGCUAUUUACAAUAAUUUCUUUAAGCUCUGCUAGAAAGUCCACCACAAGCUGUGUUACUGCUUUAUCACCUGGACGGACUGAGCCACUGUGAUGUUUUGGGAGUCAUCAGCUUGAUUCCUGGAGCCUUCCUGAGCCCGUCUAUGGUCUCCUGCUCACUUGCUGUACUUGUGAGAAUCCUGUGCCCCAUCGUUCCCUGUCUUCCAGAGGCCACUUCACUAGGGGGUGGGGGCGGCUGGGGAGGGAGGAUCAGUUCAGCAAAGAGCCACAGCCAGAACAUGGAAAUCAUUGUUUCCGUAGGUGCUUAUCCACAGUGGGCAGGCUCCUGUGAGCCCAUGUGCAACAGAAGCAGAGGAAGGGCUGCCCAGAAUGGCCACUGAGGAGGAGCACUGAGACCUACCUGGAAACUGAGGCAGGGACGCCUGCACCUACUGAAACUCCUCCAGGGGAAGGGCUGUGGAAGGAUGGGGUGAGAUCCUGGAGAACUCUCCAUUGCACUCUCAAACUCCUUCCUAAGGAGAGGGGAGGCCUGGUUAACCAGAACCUGUUGUCUUGGUGGCUGGGGUAUCCAAGUUUGGGGACAGAGCUGAGUUGCUGAAGACUCAGAGGAGAGGCAGCCACGCUUUCUCCAUACAACCAUCAGUCUCCCUCUCAAAAUACACGUAAGGCUGAAAGUUUUAUUUCUGUUCUUAGUUUUGAAGAGAUGGGGAAGACCCUCUCAGGCAGCUGCUGGUCUGGAGAGAGGAAGUGAGGCACUGGAGAGCGGGAGGGGGACUUAGCUGUCACAGGAGAACUGUGGGGGCAGAGUGAGUGCACAGUGUGAGGGGCCAUCGUGACAAGCUGCUGCAGGCUGCUCUCUCCCAUCUGGGAUGCUGACAAUGCAUUCAGAGCAGGGGCAUGUGAGGGCCACAUCUGCAAGAAGGUUCAGAACCCACCCUGAAGACUGUAGAAAAAGUGAGGCUAAAAAGAGAGGGGAUGAUGUUCUGCCAAACUGCUCUCUUGGGCCAUAGUUUCACCAUUAGUAAACUGAAUUUUUAUCUGGAAAUUGAAAAGUCUAACCAAUCAAGAAUUGUACUGCACCCUGGAAUUAUGAAAUGUCACUGAAAUAUUUAAAAACAGAACCCUCCUGACCCUGGGAUGCUAUGAAAAUUGAGACAGACGCCUUCACAGUGCACAAAAGAUGAAAAGCUUGGUGCAGACAUUCCACGAACUACCAUCAUUAUAAAAGGCAGAUUGCAGGCACAGGGAAUGUGAAUCAUAAAACUGCACAAAACCAAGCAGAUUGAAACUAUUGUUUAAAGAACAACAACAAAAAAAAGCAAAGAAUCAUGAAAUAUUAGAAGUGGAUGAAUCUUUCUAUAGCUCUAAACAAGAUGGCAGGGUAAAAGGAUAUGGAACUCACCUCCUCCCACAAGUACAUCAAAAAUACAUCUACAAAUGGAACAGUUCUCUCAGAACCCCUGCUGAACACUACCAGAAGACCUCAAACCCCUGAGAGGACAUGAAAGAGCCCCAUGUAACCAGGUGGAUUUUCAGCUUUGUUGUGUACAUAUACAACUUCAAAUGUUCCACUGCCUCCUUAAGACAGGCUCAGAGGAGAUGCUCCAUGUUGGAGAGAUGGCAUGGAAUGGAAGGGAGUGUUAAAAGCCCUGAACAGAGACAGAGAGAAAGAUGAACUCUAACUUGAAGGUGGCUGUGGCCUGAGGUAAGAAAAAGUCUCUUGUCCACUCUUUCCUUCUCAGGGGCAUUUAAGUUGACCACUCAUUGUUGGGAGGUGAGG